rnacentral:rRNA from 1 species
AUACGUAUGGAGCAAGCGUUAUCCGGAUUUACUGGGUGUAAAGGGAGCGUAGACGGCAUAGCAAGUCUGAAGUGAAAUCCCAUGGCUUAACCAUGGAAAUGCUUUGGAAACUGUUUUACUGGAGUGCAGGAGAGGUAAGCGGAAUUUCUAGUGUAGCGGUGAAAUGCGUAGAUAUUAGGAGGAACACCAGAGGCGAAGGCGGCUUACUGGACUGUAACUGACGUUGAGGCUCGAAGGCGUGGGGAGCAAACAGGAUUAGAUACCCUGGUAGUCCACGCGGUAAACGAUGAUCACUAGGUGUCGGCGGCCAUAGGCGGUCGGUGCCGCAGCAAACGCAAUAAGUGAUCCACCUGGGGAGUACGUUCGCAAGAAUGAAACUCAAAGGAAUUGACGGGG